rnacentral:lncRNA from 1 species
CUGAGCUUUAGUAAGAAAAGAUUAAUUGAUCAUUUUAUUUCAGACUGAACAAGUGUACACUGAAUACUUAAUAAUGCAUGAUAGCUUUUUUCUAGGAGUUUUUAUAUAUCCUUUUACAUUUGUCUUCUCCAAAUCCUAUGAGAUAGAUAUCAUUACGCUCUCUCUGUUAAUAAGGAUUAUGAAAGUAAAUAAAGAGAAGUGAGCCACUACUGUACACAUGCUGAGUUCUCCAGAAUCAGAAUAUGGCACCAGACUCUCUAAUUUUAGAUCUAAUUCUCUUUCCACAGCACCAGAGAAAGAGAGUCAGAACUUCAUGUGAGAUCAAGGGAUGGAGCAGGAGGAGAUUACUUCAGUUCUUGGAAUGAAUUGUUCUUUCAGACAAGAAGCACACCUUAAACUCAAAUCGAGAAAAAUAUUUCCUAUAGAAGAAACUCAUAAACUCCAUAUUCUCUUGACAAUCCAUCUGGGCCACCCACCUGAUCAUGAUUGCCUACACAGUGGCAGAAUGAUGGCAUUUAGAAGCCCCCCGUACAUAGUUGUAUAUUCUUCAUUGUGGGUCCUUCUAGUUGUGGCAUGUGGGAUGUUGCCUCAGCGUGGUUUGAUGAGCAGUGCCAUGUCCGCGCCCAGGAUUCGAACCAACGAAACACUGGGCCGCCUGCAGUGGAGCUUGCGAACUUAACCACUCGGCCAUGGGGACAGCCCCUCAACCCUUUUAUUUUAACAAUUUCACCUGAUGAGUGAGAUGGUUGUCUUCAGAGCCAUGCAGUCAUUUGUGUCAAAAAUAGGAAUAGUUUUCAAAUUCUUAUUCCCAGUCAAGAACCACCUACCACACCACUGGUAUCUGUCAUCUCAAUGGAGCUAAUGAAGAUUUGGUCAGCUUCUAUAUGACAUCUUUUGGGUGACAGAAGACCUGGCUUUUUCUUGUUCAUUAAGCUACUAUGCAGUAUCAAUAUGUAGAAGCUUAACUUUUUGGAAUUAUGUAACUAUAGAACAAGAAAGCAUAAGUGAAAAGUUACUAGAAGUUGGAAAAAAAGCAAGGAGAAAGAGCAUCAUUAAAUAGUAUACUUUGGUUUUCUUUUAUUUUGUCACGGUGUUUGAAAUAUUUUCAAUGUUUAUUCUCUAAUC